rnacentral:rRNA from 1 species
GACGAACGCUGGCGGCGUGCCUAACACAUGCAAGUCGAGCGAGUGAAUCUCCUUCGGGAGUGAAGCUAGCGGCGGACGGGUGAGUAACACGUGGGCAACCUGCCUCAUAGAGGGGAAUAGCCUUUCGAAAGGAAGAUUAAUACCGCAUAAGAUUGUAGCUUCGCAUGAAGUAGCAAUUAAAGGAGCAAUCCGCUAUGAGAUGGGCCCGCGGCGCAUUAGCUAGUUGGGGGGGUAACGGCUCACAACGGCGACGAUGCGUAGCCGACCUGAGAGGGUGAUCGGCCACAUUGGGACUGAGACACGGCCCAGACUCCUACGGGAGGCAGCAGUGGGGAAUAUUGCACAAUGGGGGAAACCCUGAUGCAGCAACGCCGCGUGAGUGAUGACGGCCUUCGGGUUGUAAAGCUCUGUCUUCAGGGACGAUAAUGACGGUACCUGAGGAGGAAGCCACGGCUAACUACGUGCCAGCCGCCGCGGUAA